GACGAACGCUGGCGGCGUGCUUAACACAUGCAAGUCGAACGAUGAAGCCCAGCUUGCUGGGUGGAAGAGUGGCGAACGGGUGAGUAACACGUGAGUAACCUGCCCUGAACUCUGGGAUAAGCACUGGAAACGGUGUCUAAUACUGGAUACGACCUAUCACCGCAUGGUGUGUGGGUGGAAAGAUUUAUCGGUUUUGGAUGGACUCGCGGCCUAUCAGCUAGAUGGUGAGGUAAUGGCUCACCAUGGCGACGACGGGCAGCCGGCCUGAGAGGGUGACCGGCCACACUGGGACUGAGACACGGCCCAGACUCCUACGGGAGGCAGCAGUGGGGAAUAUUGCACAAUGGGCGCAAGCCUGAUGCAGCAACGCCGCGUGAGGGAUGACGGCCUUCGGGUUGUAAACCUCUUUUAGUAGGGAAGAAGCGAAAGUGACGGUACCUGCAGAAAAAGCACCGGCUAACUACGUGCCAGCAGCCGCGGUAAUACGUAGGGUGCAAGCGUUGUCCGGAAUUAUUGGGCGUAAAGAGCUCGUAGGCGGCUUGUCGCGUCUGCUGUGAAAUCCCGGGGCUCAACCCCGGGCCUGCAGUGGUACGGGCAAGCUAGAGUGCGGUAGGGGAGAUUGGAAUUCCUGGUGUAGCGGUGGAAUGCGC
rnacentral:rRNA from 1 species